rnacentral:rRNA from 1 species
AGCGAACGCUGGCGGCAGGCUUAACACAUGCAAGUCGAACGGGCAUCUUCGGAUGUCAGUGGCAGACGGAUGAGUAACACGUGGGAACGUACCCUUCGGUUCGGAAUAACUCAGGGAAACUUGAGCUAAUACCGGAUACGCCCUUUUGGGGAAAGGUUUACUGCCGAAGGAUCGGCCCGCGUCUGAUUAGCUUGUUGGUGGGGUAACGGCCUACCAAGGCGACGAUCAGUAGCUGGUCUGAGAGGAUGAUCAGCCACACUGGGACUGAGACACGGCCCAGACUCCUACGGGAGGCAGCAGUGGGGAAUAUUGGACAAUGGGCGCAAGCCUGAUCCAGCCAUGCCGCGUGAGUGAUGAAGGCCUUAGGGUUGUAAAGCUCUUUUGUCCGGGACGAUAAUGACGGUACCGGAAGAAUAAGCCCCGGCUAACUUCGUG